UUGUGGCUGUUGCUGAUAUUGUUGUUGAACGGGAACUGAUUGAUUUGCUGAAUUAUUAGUAAAAACAGGAAUAACUGACGAUACCUGAUGAUGUUAUGGGCGCGAUCUAACAUUCUUCCUCACAUGAUGCCUCCUCUUCCUCCCCAUGGACACUGUAUUAGUUUCCCCUUCCUUCUUUUUGAAGAAACUACCACCAUAUUUCUUACUUGAAGACACUUCAUCUUUGGACAACUCUCU
rnacentral:lncRNA from 1 species